UACGAAGGGGGCUAGCGUUGUUCGGAUUUACUGGGCGUAAAGCGCACGUAGGCGGAUUGUUAAGUCGGGGGUGAAAUCCUGGAGCUCAACUUCAGAAUUGCCUUCGAUACUGGCUUUCUAGAGGCUGGAAGAGGUUAGUGGAAUUCCCAGUGUAGAGGUGAAAUUCGUAGAUAUUGGGAGGAACACCAGUGGCGAAGGCGGCUAACUGGUCCAGAUCUGACGCUGAGGUGCGAAAGCGUGGGGAGCAAACAGG
rnacentral:rRNA from 1 species